rnacentral:rRNA from 1 species
UACGAGUGCCCCAAGCGUUAUCCGGAAUCAUUGGGCGUAAAGGGUGUGUAGGUGGUCAUGUUAGUCUUCUGUCAAAUUCUUCGGCUUAACCGGGGCAUGCGGAGGAAACGGCAUGACUAGAGGAUGCGAGAGGUGAAUGGAACUCAUGGAGUAGGGGUGAAAUCCGUUGAUAUCAUGGGGAACACCAAAAGCGAAGGCAAUUCACUGGCGCACUCCUGACACUGAGACACGAAAGCGUAGGUAGCGAAUGGG